UACGUAGGGGGCAAGCGUUGUCCGGAUUUAUUGGGCGUAAAGAGCGUGUAGGCGGUUUGGUAGGUCCGCUGUGAAAACUCGAGGCUCAACCUCGAGACGCCGGUGGAAACCAUCAGGCUAGAGUCCGGAAGAGGAGAGUGGAAUUCCUGGUGUAGCGGUGAAAUGCGUAGAUAUCGAGAGGAACACCUGCGGCGAAGGCGGGUUGCUGGGCUGAUACUGACGCUGAGGCGCGAAAGCCAGGGGAGCGAACGGG
rnacentral:rRNA from 1 species